GGUUAGCAACGUCUCCUCUUCUGGAGGACAAAGCUGCGAAGGCAAGAGUACUGAGGCAAAGCAUGUGGAGGAGCAAAUAGGUGAGCUUGCAGAGGAGCCUAACAAGGAGGUGCACACAGAGGAGGAGCUCACCAAGGAGGUGCACACAGAGGAGGAGCUUACUAAAGAGGUGCACACAGAGGAGGCACACACAGAGGCGGCACACAGAGAGAAGGAGCUCACAGAGAGUCCUGCAGAGGAGGAGCCCACUGAGGAUCACUCAGUGGAGUCUAAUAAGGUACAGACUAGUGCAUAAUGGCCCUCAGUAGGUGUGUAGUAACCAGUGCCUGGGUGUUCCCCUCACCUUUUGGCCUAUAAUCUCCUUGUAAAGUAUUGCUUUCCACACUGCAUCAAAGUUGUCGUAUUUCACACACCCCCUUCAGGGAGCCUUUUCAACAGCUUGGGUGUACCUUCAGCAGGUUUGCAUGCCUAUGACACAUGCUUGGGUAAACUCAGCGGCUUGUGGCAGUUCUUGAGAACAUAUUCUAACCUAUUCUCCUAUAUCUAUCUCUCUGUCAUGUAAGUUAGCUUGAUAGCAUGUUUGCGUUCACAACCACAUUUAUUUGAUUAACCAACAUUUUGAUUAAUUGGGAGUUGCAUGUAUUGUUGAGUUAUUAUGAGAUUGGCCCAUAGCUUUUGAUGAACUCAUGGAUCAAAGGUUAAAUGCAAAUAUUGAUUCAAAUCCCUCUAUUGUAUGUUGGUGCCAAGCACAGCAGGUGAUGUCUAAAAAUAGACAUGAUUUGCAUACUUAAACUCUUUCUCUCUCUCUCUCAUUUACAGGUGAUUGGACCUGCUGCCUUCCCUGUGGGUGAAACAGGGAAGAGGAGAACAGAUCUACUGGAAACAGGGGGAAAGCAGGAGAGCUCCACAGCCAUAGGUCAGAAUCAGAGAGAGGACCAAGAAAGUUCUGGAGUGACUGGACCAGCGUUAGCACCACAGUCAAUCAGCCACCCACCAGUGAAGCAUGAGGAUCCUACAUCUAAACCUCGGAAAAAAGAACACAUCCAACCAUCAGCUGAAUUGAAAACGUCUAUUCCCUUUAGCCCAAAUCGGAACAUAUGUAGCUGCCCCAUCCGCCCGCACCACUCUAACAUUUCCUCCCCCUUCCUUGCACCUCAAGAGCAGUCCCUGCCCAGGACUGCCACUGUGGAGAGUCUUUCCCCUGAGGUUACGAACAUUCCCUUUCACAGCCCACAUCAACCACCAAAACUUCAGUCUUCUAACUUGAAGAGGAGCCAGCUUCAGAAGGCCUCUGGUCGGGCCGUAACACCAGCUCGCCAUUUGUCCUUGAUCAGGCCAUGGAGUGUGGAGUCACCAGGAACGUUCUCCUUGCUAAGACCAAGCAGCUCCACCACACUGCCCACCUCCCACUAUGUAGAGACCCAGGCUGAAGCCUCCGGCAUCUCCUCCAACUUCGCCUCCGUCCUCCCUUCCAACCUCUCCUCCGACCUCCCCUCCAACCUCCCCUCUGGCCUCCCCUCUUCCUCUGACCACCGAGAGAGUUCAGUCACCUUGAGAGAGCACAUUUCAAGAAGUCAUCUCACCUUGUUCCCUGCCUCUGACCUACAAUGUUUCCCACCCCAGACCCUCAACAGAAUCCUGCCUCAUACUACACUGUCUCAUUACCCUCUUGGAUAUAGGACCAGAUUAAGCUCAUCUUUGAUAUUUAACUCUCUCCCCGUGUCUAAGAACACUUUAGAUACAGCAACUGAGAGUCCAAAAUACCUUAACAGGUCCAAGUCACUUGAUAGACAUUUAACCAAGGCUGUGUCUAUGGAUACUGCUGGUGACAAUCACUCCCCCUACUCACCACCCAGCAACACAAGAUGGAUGUCAUCUUCUGAGAGAAUCAACAUGUUGGCGAAGCAGCAUAACUUAGCAGCCCAGGUUGGUUUAUCAAAAGCCAUCAGCCAACAGAGGAUUCUGCAGACGAAUGCCUCCGUUCAAUCUAAUAACCAAAGAAUGUUCAAGCACCAUGCAUAUUAUUCAGGUGUAUAUGACACAGGUCCCAGUCUGGCAGUUAAGACUCAUUCUCUCUCCAGCCUCAGCUCCAGGGCCUCUCACGGCCUUCAGUCACAUCUUCACAGCCCCCCAGUUUCACCAGAUCAUAUGACUGAUCUCACCAGAGCCUAUGGUGGUACACACAGUGCCCCAGCAGACACAAAACAGUUGAUGAUAGGGGAAAAAAUAAAAGUCACUGGUUCAGAGAUUAUUGAUAGUGAAACACAUAAUAUCAGUGAAUUUAAAUGUCAGACUUCAAAUAAGGAUCUGUUUGCAUCUCAGAUUAGAAAGAAUAGCUUGGGUCUGCCUGCUCAGGAUGCAACUCUUGUCUCUGAUAGGACUGAAAAAGAGCCCACUGGUUACAGAAGCAACCGGAAAGUAGAUCAGGUACUGAAUCGCCUCAGAAUGAUAUUCAGUAGCAAACGUAUUGAGGAAAGGAGUGUGUUGUUUGGUAGAAAGGGGAAAACGGUGCCAUCAACACUUGAGAAUAGACGGACAGGGAAGAGGUCUCCAGAGGUCAAAGAAGUGCUGAAACCCAUUGACCUUCAAUGUAAUGUGGCAGGUCAUCUGAGACAACAAAACAGAGGCUGCAAUGGGCUGACAAUUUCCACAGUUAAAUUAGCAUCCAAGAAUGCACAGUUAGAUAUUCAUGACAAAGAGAGGAACACAAUAUCAACUGAGAAAAAUGGAAACCCAUCGCUGUCAAAAGAAGAAUUAAGUAGAACAAAUCAUCCACAUUCACCCUAUUUUAGUAGUCAAUCCCAUAAGGACUCUGGAAGUUCUAGAACCAGUCAUUUUAGCCUCAACACAAAGAAUGAAGAUGUCUUCUCUAGCCCAAUGGGUAAGGACAGUAGAUCAGAUAGGAGUAGAACUGCCUGUUUUAAACCCACACAGCUCUCAUACUCCAACAACUCUCCAACCACUACUGAUUUUGGCCUGAAACAUGGCCGCUCCAUCUCUGUCACCAACAUUUACUCAAACCGAACAUCAAGAAACAGGCGCAUCUCCACGGGAACUGAUAUGGCCCCCACAAGGUACCUAAGGAGUCUGGAGGAUAUCAGAGGGCCAGGGGACCUUGAUCGCCCACCCAGGACCCUUUCCAGAGCUUUCUCUAGCACUCAGAAAACCUAUAUCAGUCUAAUAAAAACAGACAGCAUCUUACGCCCUAAGAGCCUGACAUUUCCUAUGCCUCUACGGUUCAAUGAGUCAUCGAUUUGGCACACAGAGAUGUUAAACUCACUUAUCAUUGAUCAGAAGUUGCAAGUCAUUCAAGGCCCCAUGGAACUACUGCCCAUCACUAGCUCCAGUUUGUCAGACUUUGAGGAGUAUGACUCAGAUACAACUACAGAUGGAGAAUACUACUUGAGCAGUGAUGAUUGGGAGAAAGAGUCAAUACUCUAGCAAAGGGCGACCGUUUUGAGUAACAUUGUGCAGAUAUUUAACGUUUUUGUGAAAAUCAUUUCUUAUUGGCCUAUGUAUUUAUAGUUGAAAAACAUUAAUAAAACAAAUAAUUAAUCUGUACAUUUAUUGAAUCCAUGUUGAUGAUAUGGUGAUGUAUGGUAGUGAGAGGAAGCU
rnacentral:lncRNA from 1 species